rnacentral:rRNA from 1 species
AACGCUAGCUACAGGCUUAACACAUGCAAGUCGAGGGGUAACGAGAGGAAAGCUUGCUUUCCUUGUCGACGACCGGCGCACGGGUGAGUAACGCGUAUCCAACCUGCCCCCAACUAGGGAAUAACCUUGCGAAAGUAAGACUAAUACCCUAUAAUUUCCUCAGAUGUCAUCUGACGAGGAAUAAAGAUUUAUCGGUUGUGGAUGGGGAUGCGUCUGAUUAGCUUGUUGGCGGGGUAACGGCCCACCAAGGCAACGAUCAGUAGGGGUUCUGAGAGGAAGGUCCCCCACAUUGGAACUGAGACACGGUCCAAACUCCUACGGGAGGCAGCAGUGAGGAAUAUUGGUCAAUGGGCGGAAGCCUGAACCAGCCAAGUAGCGUGCAGGAUGACGGCCCUAUGGGUUGUAAACUGCUUUUAUACAGGAAUAAAGUUAGCCACGUGUGGUUAUUUGUAGGUACUGUAUGAAUAAGGACCGGCUAAUUCCGUGCCAGCAGCCGCGGUAAUACGGAAGGUCCAGGCGUUAUCCGGAUUUAUUGGGUUUAAAGGGAGCGUAGGCCGUCUGUUAAGCGUGUUGUGAAAUGUAGAUGCCCAACAUCUGAAUUGCAGCGCGAACUGGCAGACUUGAGUGUGCGCAACGUAGGCGGAAUUCGUGGUGUAGCGGUGAAAUGCUUAGAUAUCACGAAGAACUCCGAUUG